rnacentral:rRNA from 1 species
CCUACGGGCGGCAGCAGUGAGGAAUAUUGGUCAAUGGGCGCAAGCCUGAACCAGCCAAGUCGCGUGAGGGAUGACGGUCCUAUGGAUUGUAAACCUCUUUUGUCGGGGAGCAAGGCCCGCCACGUGUGGCGGGAAGGAGAGUACCCGAAGAAAAAGCAUCGGCUAACUCCGUGCCAGCAGCCGCGGUAAUACGGAGGAUGCGAGCGUUAUCCGGAUUUAUUGGGUUUAAAGGGUGCGUAGGCGGAAGGUUAAGUCAGCGGUAAAAUGUCGGUGCUCAACACCGGCCUGCCGUUGAAACUGGUCUUCUUGAGUGAGCGAGAAGUAUGCGGAAUGCGUAGUGUAGCGGUGAAAUGCAUAGAUAUCACGCAGAACUCCGAUUGCGAAGGCAGCAUACCGGCGCUCAACUGACGCUGAGGCACGAAAGCGUGGGGAUCGAACAGGAUUAGAUACCCCGGUAGUC